GUAGGGAAUAUUGCGCAAUGGACGAAAGUCUGACGCAGCGACGCCGCGUGAGUGAUGAAGGCCUUAGGGUCGUAAAGCUCUGUUGAAUGGGAAGAAAAAAAUGACGGUACCAUUCGAGGAAGGACCGGCUAACUUCGUGCCAGCAGCCGCGGUAAUACGAGGGGUCCUAGCGUUGUUCGGAAUCAUUGGGCGUAAAGGGUGUGUAGGUGGCCAUGUAAGUCAGGUGUGAAAGCCCCGGGCUCAACCCGGGAAGUGCACUUGAUACUGCGUGGCUUGAGUACCGAAGAGGGUAGUGGAAUUCCAGGUGUAGUGGUGAAAUACGUAGAUAUCUGGAGGAACACCGGUGGCGAAGGCGGCUACCUGGUCGAGUACUGACACUGAGACACGAAAGCGUGGGGAUCGAACAGGAUUAGAAACCCGGGUAGUCC
rnacentral:rRNA from 1 species